rnacentral:rRNA from 1 species
AUCCGGGUUGCGGACAGUGUCUGGUGGGUAGUUUGACUGGGGCGGUCUCCUCCUAAAGAGUAACGGAGGAGCACGAAGGUUAGCUAAUCCUGGUCGGACAUCAGGAGGUUAGUGCAAAGGCAUAAGCUAGCUUGACUGCGAGAGUGACGGCUCGAGCAGGUGCGAAAGCAGGUCUUAGUGAUCCGGUGGUUCUGAAUGGAAGGGCCAUCGCUCAACGGAUAAAAGGUACUCCGGGGAUAACAGGCUGAUACCGCCCAAGAGUUCAUAUCGACGGCGGUGUUUGGCACCUCGAUGUCGGCUCAUCACAUCCUGGGGCUGAAGUAGGUCCCAAGGGUAUGGCUGUUCGCCAUUUAAAGUGGUACGCGAGCUGGGUUUAGAACGUCGUGAGACAGUUCGGUCCCUAUCUGCCGUGGGCGCUGGAGAAUUGAGGGGGGCUGCUCCUAGUACGAGAGGACCGGAGUGGACGCAUCACUGGUGUUCGGGUUGUCAUGCCAAUGGCAUUGCCCGGUAGCUAAAUGCGGAAGAGAUAAGUGCUGAAAGCAUCUAAGCACGAAACUUGCCCCGAGAUGAGUUCUCCCUGACUCCUUGAGAGUCCUGAAGGAACGUUGAAGACGACGACGUUGAUAGGUCGGGUGUGUAAGUGUAGCGAUACAUUGAGCUAACCGAUACUAAUGAACCGUGAGGCUUAACCUUACAACGCCGAAG